ensembl:piRNA 21ur-3893 ncRNA
UUAGUCCGUUUUUUCGUCAAC